rnacentral:rRNA from 1 species
ACAUGCAGUCGAGGGGUAACAUUGGUGCUUGCACCAGAUGACGACCGGCGCACGGGUGCGUAACGCGUAUACAAUCUGCCUUGUACUGGGGGAUAGCCUUUAGAAAUGAAGAUUAAGACCCCAUAGUAUUAUAGAUUCGCAUGAUGAAAUAAUUAAAGGUUACGGUACAAGAUGAGUAUGCGUCCUAUUAGCUAGAUGGAGUGGUAACGGCACCCCAUGGCGACGAUAGGUAGGGGCCCUGAGAGGGGGAUCCCCCACACUGGUACUGAGACACGGACCAGACUCCUACGGGAGGCAGCAGUGAGGAAUAUUGGACAAUGGGGGCAACCCUGAUCCAGCCAUGCCGCGUGCAGGAAGACUGCCCUAUGGGUUGUAAACUGCUUUUAUACGGGAAGAAACACCGCUACGUGUAGCGGCUUGACGGUACCGUAAGAAUAAGGAUCGGCUAACUCCGUGCCAGCAGCCGCGGUAAUACGGAGGAUCCAAGCGUUAUCCGGAAUCAUUGGGUUUAAAGGGUCCGUAGGUGGGCUGGUCAGUCAGAGGUGAAAUCCCACGGCUCAACCGUGGAACUGCCUUUGAUACUGCUAGUCUUGAGUUAUUAUGAAGUAGUUAGAAUAUGUAGUGUAGCGGUGAAAUGCAUAGAUAUUACAUAGAAUACCAAUUGCGAAGGCAGAUUACUAAUAAUAUACUGACACUGAUGGACGAAAGCGUAGGUAGCGAACGGGAUUAGAUACCCCGGUAGUCUACGCCGUAAACGAUGGAUACUAGCUGUCCGGCUUCGGCUGGGUGGCUAAGCGAAAGUGAUAAGUAUCCCACCUGGGGAGUACGUUCGCAA